rnacentral:misc_RNA from 1 species
AAGUCGUAACAAGGUUUCCGUAGGUGAACCUGCGGAAGGAUCAUUAACACGUAUCCGUAUCAACCCCUCUGUGCAACGCAACAACGUAAAGGUCAGCCUAGUCCGCUGCUGCUUGGUCUCAACGAUGGCGGGCUCGUUCUGUCCCUUCCCACUCUUCCGCUUGCGGAGGGGCAGGAGUGGUGCGGAUACGCCCGAAGAUCCUGAGCAGGCGGGCGUUUUAGCCCUGUUUACCACUUUUUAACCCCUUUGUACUCUCUUUGUACUGAACCAAAACAUUUCUUUCGGAGCUCGCAAGAGCGACGGAGAGAUAUUACGAAACUAAACAACAACUCUUAGCAACGGAUAUCUUGGUUCCC